rnacentral:rRNA from 1 species
GACGAACGCUGGCGGCGUGCCUAACACAUGCAAGUCGAACGAGGUCCAAGGGAGCUUGCUCCCUGAAGACCUAGUGGCGAACGGGUGAGUAACACGUGAGAAACCUGCCCUCGAGUGGGGAAUAACCCGGGGAAACCCGGGCUAAUACCGCAUACGCUCCUCUGGUCGCAUGGCCGGAGGAGGAAAGUUUUUCGCUCAAGGAGGGUCUCGCGGCGUAUCAGCUUGUUGGCGGGGUAACAGCCCACCAAGGCUCCGACGGGUAGCUGGUUUGAGAUAACGAUCCGGCACCCUGGGACUGUGACACGGCCCGGGCUCCUACGGGAGGCAGCAGUGGGGAAUCUUGCGCAAUGAGCGAAGGCCUGACGCAGCAACGCCGCGUGCGGGAUGACGGCCUUCGUGGUUGUAAACCGCUUUCAGCAGGAACGAAAAUGACGUUACCUGCAGAAGAAGGUGCGGCCAACUACGUGCCAGCCGCCGCCGUAA